rnacentral:rRNA from 1 species
UACGUAGGAGGCGAGCGUUGUCCGGAGUUACUGGGCGUAAAGGGUGCGCAGGCGGUGGCCCGCGUGGGCGGUGAAAGCUCCUGGCUCAACUGGGAGAGGGCCGUCCAGACGGGGUCACUUGAGAGUUGGAGGGGGGACUGGAAUUCUUGGUGUAGCAGUGAAAUGCGUAGAUAUCAAGAGGAACACCAGUGGCGAAGGCGAGUCCCUGGACAACUUCUGACGCUGAGGCACGAAAGCUAGGGGAGCAAACAGG